rnacentral:rRNA from 1 species
CCUACGGGAGGCAGCAGUAGGGAAUCUUCCACAAUGGGCGAAAGCCUGAUGGAGCAACGCCGCGUGGGUGAAGAAGGUCUUCGGAUCGUAAAACCCUGUUGUUAGAGAAGAAAGUGCGUGAGAGUAACUGUUCACGUUUCGACGGUAUCUAACCAGAAAGCCACGGCUAACUACGUGCCAGCAGCCGCGGUAAUACGUAGGUGGCAAGCGUUAUCCGGAUUUAUUGGGCGUAAAGGGAACGCAGGCGGUCUUUUAAGUCUGAUGUGAAAGCCUUCGGCUUAACCGGAGUAGUGCAUUGGAAACUGGGAGACUGGAGUGCAGAAGAGGAGAGUGGAACUCCAUGUGUAGUGGUGAAAUGCGUAGAUAUAUGGAAGAACACCAGUGGCGAAAGCGGCUCUCUGGUCUGUAACUGACGCUGAGGUUCGAAAGCGUGGGUAGCAAACAGGAUUAGAUACCCCAGUAGUC